rnacentral:tRNA from 1 species
CUGACGGUAGCUUAAACGGUAGAGCGCGGGUCUCAUAAGCCCGGAGGUGCGGGUUCGAGUCCCGUCCGUCAAACCA